GAUCAUGGCUCAGGAUGAACGCUAGCUACAGGCUUAACACAUGCAAGUCGAGGGGCAGCGGGGAGUAGCAAUACUCCGCCGGCGACCGGCGCACGGGUGCGUAACGCGUAUGCAACCUACCUUUAACAGGGGCAUAACACUGAGAAAUUGGUACUAAUUCCCCAUAACAUUCGAGAAGGCAUCUUCUUGGGUUAAAAACUCCGGUGGUUAAAGAUGGGCAUGCGUUGUAUUAGCUAGUUGGUGAGGUAACGG
rnacentral:rRNA from 1 species